rnacentral:rRNA from 1 species
GAAACUAACAAGGAUUCCCCUAGUAGCGGCGAGCGAAGCGGGAAGAGCUCAAAUUUAUAAUCUGGCACCUUCGGUGUCCGAGUUGUAAUCUCUAGAAAUGUUUUCCGCGUUGGACCGCACACAAGUCUGUUGGAAUACAGCGGCAUAGUGGUGAGACCCCCGUAUAUGGUGCGGACGCCCAGCGCUUUGUGAUACAUUUUCGAAGAGUCGAGUUGUUUGGGAAUGCAGCUCAAAUUGGGUGGUAAAUUCCAUCUAAAGCUAAAUAUUGGCGAGAGACCGAUAGCGAACAAGUACCGUGAGGGAAAGAUGAAAAGCACUUUGGAAAGAGAGUUAACAGUACGUGAAAUUGUUGGAAGGGAAACGCUUGAAGUCAGACUUGCUUGCCGAGCAAUCGGUUUGCAGGCCAGCAUCAGUUUUCCGGGAUGGAUAAUGGUAGAGAGAAGGUAGCAGUUUCGGCUGUGUUAUAGCUCUCUGCUGGAUACAUCUUGGGGGACUGAGGAACGCAGUGUGCCUUUGGCGGGGGUUUCGACCUCUU